rnacentral:rRNA from 1 species
UUCUUUAAACUGGUUUGGGAAAACCAAAUAUAUUAUAUAUUUUGCUUUGUUCAAAAUAAGGUUUUCUAAUAAAUUAUGUUUUUAUCAGAUAUGACAGAAUCUUUUUUAAAAUCUCUUCAAUAUGCUUUUAUUGCUUUUGAGAGGUUUUGUUACUUUGAGUAAAAUUAAGUGUUCAUAACAGACGGGUAGUCAUGAUUGAGUUCAUUGUGAU